rnacentral:rRNA from 1 species
GACUUAGCAUAUCAAUAAGCGGAGGAAAAGAAACAACAGGGAUUGCCUUAGUAACGGCGAGUGAAGCGGCAACAGCUCAAAUUUGAAAUCUGGCCUCGGCCCGAGUUGUAAUUUGCAGAGGAUGCUUCCGGCGACGCGCCUUCCGAGUCCCCUGGAACGGGGCGCCUGAGAGGGUGAGAGCCCCGUACGGUUGGACGCCGAGCCUGUGUGAAGCUCCUUCGACGAGUCGAGUAGUUUGGGAAUGCUGCUCUAAACGGGAGGUAAAUUCCUUCUAAAGCUAAAUACCGGCCAGAGACCGAUAGCGCACAAGUAGAGUGAUCGAAAGAUGAAAAGCACUUUGGAAAGAGGGUUAAACAGUACGUGAAAUUGCUGAAAGGGAAGCGCUCGCGACCAGACUCGCGCCGGGCGGAUCAUCCAGCGUUCUCGCUGGUGCACUUCGCCCGGCCCGGGCCAGCAUCGGUUCUGGUGGGGGGACAAAAGCCCGGGAAACGUAGCUCCCUCCGGGGAGUGUUAUAGUCCCUCGCCUAAUAUCCCCGCCGGGACCGAGGACCGCGCCUUGUGCAAGGAUGCUGGCGUAAUGGUCGCCAGCGACCCGUCUUGAAACACGGACCAAGGAGUCGAACAUUCGUGCGAGUGUUUGGGUGGAAACCCCUCACGCGUAAUGAAAGUGAACGGAGGUGGGAGCCUCGGCGCACCAUCGACCGAUCCUGAAGCUUGUCGGAUGGAUUUGAGUGGGAGCAUGACUGUUCGGACCCGAAAGAUGGUGAACUAUGCCUGCGUAGGGUGAAGCCAGAGGAAACUCUGGUGGAGGCUCGCAGCGGUUCUGACGUGCAAAUCGAUCGUCAAACGUGGGCAUGGGGGCGAAAGACUAAUCGAACCAUCUAGUA